rnacentral:rRNA from 1 species
CCUACGGGAGGCGGCAGUGAGGAAUAUUGGUCAAUGGGCUUACGCCUGAACCAGCCAAGUCGCGUGAGGGAAGACUGCCCUAUGGGUUGUAAACCUCUUUUGUCAGGGAGCAAUUGGCGCUACGUGUAGCGUUAUCGAGAGUACCUGAAGAAAAAGCAUCGGCUAACUCCGUGCCAGCAGCCGCGGUAAUACGGAGGAUGCGAGCGUUAUCCGGAUUUAUUGGGUUUAAAGGGUGCGUAGGCGGAAUGCCAAGUCAGCGGGAAAAUCGCGGGGCUCAACCUCGCUCCGCCGUUGAAACUGGCGUUCUUGAGUGGGCGAGAAGUAUGCGGAAUGCGUGGUGUAGCGGUGAAAUGCAUAGAUAUCACGCAGAACUCCGAUUGCGAAGGCAGCAUACCGGCGCCCAACUGACGCUGAAGCACGAAAGCGUGGGUAUCGAACAGGAUUAGAUACCCUUGUAGUC